UACCAGCUCUCCGAGUGGUAGGGAUGAUUAUUGGGCUUAAAGCGUCCGUAGCCGGCUUAGCAAGUUUCCUGUUAAAUUCAGCGACCUAAUCGUUGAGCCGCGGGAAAUACUACUAGGCUAGGAGGCGGGAGAGGUCAACGGUACUUCCGGGGUAGGGGUGAAAUCCUAUAAUCCCGGGAGGACCACCAGUGGCGAAGGCUGUUGACUAGAACGCGCUCGACGGUGAGGGACGAAAGCUGGGGGAGCGAACCGGAUUAGAUACCCGGGUAGUCCCAGCUGUACACGAUGCGAGCUAGGUGUUGGGGUGGCUACGUGCCACUUCAGUGCCGCAGGGAAGCCAUUAAGCUCGCCGCCUGGGGAGUACGGUCGCAAGGCUGAAACUUAAAGGAAUUGGCGGGGGAGCACCACAAGGCGUGAAGCUUGCGGUUC
rnacentral:rRNA from 1 species